AGCGGUAGAGAGAAGCUUGCUUCUCUUGAGAGCGGCGGACGGGUGAGUAAUACCUAGGAAUCUGCCUGAUAGUGGGGGAUAACGUUCGGAAACGGACGCUAAUACCGCAUACGUCCUACGGGAGAAAGCAGGGGACCUUCGGGCCUUGCGCUAUCAGAUGAGCCUAGGUCGGAUUAGCUAGUUGGUGAGGUAAUGGCUCACCAAGGCUACGAUCCGUAACUGGUCUGAGAGGAUGAUCAGUCACACUGGAACUGAGACACGGUCCAGACUCCUACGGGAGGCAGCAGUGGGGAAUAUUGGACAAUGGGCGAAAGCCUGAUCCAGCCAUGCCGCGUGUGUGAAGAAGGUCUUCGGAUUGUAAAGCACUUUAAGUUGGGAGGAAGGGCAGUAAAUUAAUACUUUGCUGCUUUGACGUUACCGACAGAAUAAGCACCGGCUAACUCUGUGCCAGCAGCCGCGGUAAUACAGAGGGUGCAAGCGUUAAUCGGAAUUACUGGGCGUAAAGCGCGCGUAGGUGGUUUGUUAAGUUGAAUGUGAAAUCCCCGGGCUCAACCUGGGAACUGCAUCCAAAACUGGCAAGCUAGAGUAUGGUAGAGGGUAGUGGAAUUUCCUGUGUAGCGGUGAAAUGCGUAGAUAUAGGAAGGAACACCAGUGGCGAAGGCGACUACCUGGACUGAUACUGACACUGAGGUGCGAAAGCGUGGGGAGCAAACAGGAUUAGAUACCCUGGUAGUCCACGCCGUAAACGAUGUCACUAGCCGUUGGGAGUCUUGAACUCUUAGUGGCGCAGCUAACGCAUUAAGUUGACCGCCUGGGGAGUACGGCCGCAAGGUAAAACUCAAUGAAUUGACGGGGCCCGCACAAGCGGUGGAGCAUGUGGUUUAUUCGAAGCACGCGAAGAACCUUACCAGG
rnacentral:rRNA from 1 species